AGUGAUGAUUUCAAAAACGAUGCGAAGGAUUGUGAAAUCUUUCCAGGAGAUGAAGCUGUUCUAUCAAUGCCAGAUUCUGCUUUGGUUCCUUCCAAUGGUUAUCAUCAGAAAUUAUCCUCCGAAGUUAUAAACUCAUCAUACGGGAUUUGCUCAAAGACAUUGUGCAAAGCUGUGUCCACACAUGGCGAAACUUAUCAGGACUGUGACAAGGAAGGAAGCUCCUAAAAAGUGGCAAAAGAUUUGAGCGUAAAUCUUGGAAUAAACUAUACGCUAACUACGCCAUGCAAUGGUGGAUUUAUUUGGAUGUCGUGGAACACUUUGGGAUGAUGCAGUGACGCUUGUUGAAAUAUCCUUGUAUAUCCGCAAUAUCGUGAUUCAAAUUGAUCAGCAUUUGUACACGCACGUAGUACCAGUCUUUCUUCGAUUUCGCGCCAGUCGAGUUUGUUUAGCUCAGUUGGAUACUGAAGAAGAAUUUUAUAUCACCAAGUGAAACCUCGGAAUAUUUGCUGCUCUUGACCCUCGUCUGCUGAUUUUUUUGGCUGUUUUUAUAAAGAUUGACACUUGAUUUUCAAUCCAGCCUGCAGUUAACCUGCCAAUGUUGCGGUAGCUAUGAAUGGUGGUUUGAAAUGUUGAAUACAAAUAACCCGACGCGGAGUAUUUUAUAUUUAGUCGGAUGCUAUCCACGACAGGCAAGUGUCAUAAUCUUCAAAUAACUGGGAUAACGUUUUAUACUGAUAAACUGCCUAAAAUAUAUACAAACACUUCUUAAUCUAUAGGGGUUCGUCAAAUGCUGUACUAUGAAGGAUAAUACGAGACUUUCGAUCGAUAUGAAAACAACUAUAUAUAAUUAUAUAUGAAUUAAGUUCGUCCCGGCAGCCAUGCAAUCAUAGCGAGAUGUUUCAUCUACAUACAUGGCAAUAUUUGGUAUGCGGUUUUAACGAAACUCUCUGCAAAACAUUACAUUGGCACCAUUAAGUAGGAUUUUCAUGACAUUAAACCUGGUUUCCGUUCUGUCGUGAUUGGCGUGAACAAGUCAUUUUUUACGUAUGAGAAAAUAGCGCUUUGGGGCCUUAAGUUAUGACGGAAUGAUGACAGAAUUAAGACGAAUUAUGUUAUAUGAAAACCAGCCUUAAAUACUUGAAUUAGUUGUAAAAAAGUUUAGUUGAAUGCGACCAAGGAGUCCCGUUCUAAAUUUGUCUUAAUUUCUGUAUUCAAAUUCAUUAUUGCCAUGAUUGUACAUGCAUACAUAGAAAUACUAUAUCGCAUCAGCCACCUUGAUAUGUUCACGACAAGUACGACGAAACCUAAAUCUUUAUCUCAUUAUUGUCUAAAUUGCAUUCGACUCGAUCCGACCAAAAUACGACGUAUAAACUACCCCUUAUCCAAGGUAUACGAUGCUUCUGGCAAAGUCACUGAGUCUUGGCCAGUUAGGGCUAGAAUCUGUUCUGUGUUUUCUUCAGCUUGUCUGGGUUCAUAUUCCCUAGGCUCGUGGUUCAAAUCUUCCGCAUUACCAUUGGUACUUUUUUUUCUUUUUCUGUGCCAACACAAUCCCAAACCAACGAUGAUUGUCACAAGCGACAGAACGCCAAUUGAAAUACCAAUAGCUACACCAAUUUUGUUACUGCUCGAUGACGUGCCCUCUAAAGCCCCCUGGUCAAAACCUUCGUUCCCGCAGUUGAUGCUUGGGUUCUCAGGACAGUUUGAACAAUCGUCGGUAAAACUUGAUCGGAAC